ACAGAGUUGGUCUAAAGGUAAGACGUUUGUCUCCAAAAUAAAUUAUGGGGGUUCGAAUCCCUCACUCUGUG
rnacentral:tRNA from 1 species